CGGGUGAGUAACACGUGAGUGACCUGCCUUUUAGACUGGAACAACUUACCGAAAGGUGAGCUAAUGCCGGAUGAGUUAUAUAAGUGCAUGUUUAUAUAGGAAAAGUUGGGGAGACCUGACGCUGAAAGAUGGACUCGCGUCCCAUUAGCUAGUUGGUGGGGUAAUGGCCUACCAAGGCGACGAUGGGUAGCCGGCCUGAGAGGGUGGCCGGCCACACUGGGACUGAGACACGGCCCAGACUCCUACGGGAGGCAGCAG
rnacentral:rRNA from 1 species